ACAUAUAUAUUUAUAUUGUUGUUAAUUACAUUUUUCAAUAUUUUAGGAACAGAGACAACAUUCCAAUAUUAUUUUGUGGGAGAUAAUGCAUUCCCACUGAAACAAAACUUGAUGCGUCCAUAUCCUGGCCGGAACUUAUCAGCUAUAAAGGACAACUUCAACAAAAAAUUACCACGUGCUCGUGUGCAUAUUGAAAAUUCAUUUGGAAUUUUGGCUAGCAGGUGGAGAAUUCUACACACGAAUAUUUACGCAGCACCAAAACAAUGUGGAUAAAAUUGUGUUAGCGGCAAUUGUGCUGCAUAACUAUCUAAUGCUCGAUAAGAAGAGUGGAUAUUUCAAUGAAGAACUCGUGGACCACCUCGAAAAUGGUGUUGAGGUGCCAGGCACUUGGAGGGAAUCCCACGCUGGGCUGCCUUCUUGCAGAAUCGCCCAAGCGAAUCGGUCAUGUGCAGAUGCAUUUAGGAGUAGAGACACACUGGCCGAUAUACUAUUUAAUAAUUGAGGUAAGAUUAACUAUUCCCCUUUAUUAAUGUUGCGAUAAUACUCAAUCUAUUUCAUUUAUACAGGACGCCGCAUCCGAUUUGUUGCUAAGCGUGUCUUCAGUGUUGUAACUUUUACCACUGUACUUAUUAAAAUUCAAUUUCAUUUGUUUCUAUUUGAUUUAAAAUUUAAUUUAAUUUCAAAUUCUAUUUAUAACAUAUUCAUACACUUCUUGACAAAUAAAUAUGUAAGUACAGCCCGUGACAAAACGAUAGCACCUCAACAUUUCGAUCAGUUUUCUCUAUUUGUGGUUUGUUUAAUGUUCAUUACUAGACUGCGGAUGUUUAUGCAGAAAACGGAGCCUAAAAAUAUUUACCCCAUAACUAUAAACAAAAUAAUUAAAUUUGUAG